ensembl:lncRNA
GAUCCUACCAUGGCCACAGCUCUGCUGGAAUUCCAGAGAAUCCCACUGUGACCACAGCUCUGCUGGAAUUCCAGAGGAUCCCACCAUGAUCACAGUUGUGCUGGAAUUCCAGAGGAUCUCACCAUGAUCACAGCUCUACUGGAAUUCCAGAGGAUCCCACUGUGACCACAGCUGUGCUGGAAUUCCAGAGGAUCCCACCAUGAUCACAGUUGUGCUGCAAAAGCUUCUGGAGGAACCCUCCAUGAACACAGCCACCCUUCCUGGGUACAGCCACCCCUCCUGGGUCACAGCCACCCUUCCUGGGCCCAGCCACCCUUCCUGGGCACAGCCACUCCUCCUGGGCCCAGCCACCCUUCCUGGGGUGCUCCACGGCCCGGGGAUGAGGACACCCUCACACCCUCAGCUCCAGAGUUGUUUCCCACACCCUGGGUGAGAACAGAGGCCAGAGAAGGUCUCUGGUUCAUCCCUUUGAGGCUCCACGAGCUGCUGAUCCACUGAAGGGGAACUGGGACUGCUGGAAAACAAGGAGGGGAGGAAAUUCUAUUCCUGCAGCCCCCCAAGCUUCCCCUCAUUCUGAGUCUGUGCUUCCUGACCCCAACUCCCAGAUGCUUUCCAGGAAAUUAAAUAACAAACCAGCUCUCCCAACCACAGAAUCAGGGAAUCCCAGACUGGUUUGGGCUGGAAGGGACUUUAAAGCUCACCCAGUGCCAUGGCAGGGCCACCUUCCACUGUUCCAGGCUGCUCCAAGCCUCCCCAGCCUGGCCUUGCCAGGGCUGGGGUGGUUUCCCAGGGCUGGCAUGGUUUCCCAGGGCUGGCAUGGUUCCCCAGGGCCAGCUCGCUCUGGGGGAUGCCCUGGGACACCCCUGGCUGUGGGGGCACCUGUGGGCAGCCCUGAGCCCACAGCAUGGAAGGGACUCCUCCAACACUUUCCCCUGCUCCCUCCUGCCAGGCUGGGCACAGCCUGGGCCUGGCUGCUGCCAGGCGAGGGAGCUCAGUCCUCGGAGCAAGCUACAGCCUGGGCUGGGGGAGAAGGGACAAAGGUCCUGGAGGGACAGAACAGGGUGCUAUGGGGCACAGAACAGGUGUUAUGGGGCACGGAACAGGGUGCUAUGGGGAACAGGUGCUAUGGGGCACAGAACAGGUGUUAUGGGGCACAGGUGUUAUGGGGCACAGAACAGGUGCUAUGGGGCACAGAACAGGGUGCUAUGGGGAACAGGUGUUAUGGGGCACAGAACAGGGUGCUAUGGGGAACAGGUGCUAUGGGGCACAGAACAGGUGUUAUGGGGCACAGGUGUUAUGGGGCACAGAACAGGUGCUAUGGGGCACAGAACAGGGUGCUAUGGGGAACAGGUGUUAUGGGGCACAGAACAGGUGCUAUGGGGCACAGAACAGGGUGCUAUGGGGCACAGGUGUUAUGGGGCACAGAACAGGUGUUAUGGGGCACAGAUGGAAAGGGAAGGGAGGAGCACAGGGCUAUGAUGGAGAGCUCGAGGCAGGGCAAUGUUAGAUGGAAGGGGAAAGGAUCCCCUGGGCAGUGCAGGGAUGUGUCAGGCCAGCUGGGAAGGGCAGUGGAUGGCCCAGCACAGCCACGUGUGGAUGGGACAUGGCUGCUGAGGGACCUGCCUGGCUCUGAGCUCAGCACAGGUCCUGCUUCCCCCUGGAUGUCCCCAUUCCAGGCCUGUGCUUUGCUCCCUCGCCCUCCCUCACCCCUGUCCUGA